rnacentral:lncRNA from 1 species
AAAGAACCAAUUUUGUUUAAACACCACCAUACUUUCAGAUAUAUUAGGAUUUGUUGCUGACGGUUGCCAAAUGCAUCUUUGAGUUUGAGGGUUAGAAAUUCAAAAACCAUAACCUGCACUGCAGCAUAGAGUUUUUAGGGGUUGGAUUUGCAGCUAGCUUAAAAUCACAUGGGAACAGUAGCAGGAACAGGAAGCUCAGCAAAGCACAUGUUAUGCAUGAUGAUCAUGUCCGUUAUGAUGAUUAUGCCCACAAGAGCAACCGCGGCACCUUCACCGUCGGCCCCAUCACCAUCAUUUGUUGCUUUCCAACAACUGAAAGAGCAGGGGCAGCAGCAGGGAGCGGACAAACACCACUAUGAGGCACGGACGUCGAAAAUAUUUCUUCAAGACUACGGCAUUUGGAAUCCAACACCUUAUUAUGGUAGGGGCGACAUGGCUCCUAUUCCCCACUGAUAAUUAUAUUCUCUGCACUUACAAAGUUUCUUCUAUCAUUAAGUUUUGUCCAGAACACAAAUAAACAAAGUCGUUUCACACUUUAUUGUUUAUUCGUUGCAAAGUAUGAUUAAUAAAAAAAUUUCUUUUGUUCCUACGCCGCUAUGUCGUACUAAAUCAUGAACGCAUAAUUGAUGACAAAUUGGUAUUCACCUUUUGAAUUGAAAGAAAUUAUUGAUAUUUCUGUUAAUCAAGUCAACCUAUCAUCUGUAGAGCAAGAAAAUAAAACUAAAUUGUAGGGGGAAAGGAGCAAAAAUAACCUGACAAACAAAUACAUUACACAUAUGCUUUGUAGUAAAUUAUAGAAACAAAGUAUUAUUAUCCAUGCUUUGUAGCAAAUCUUCACCUUGUGCUACAUUAAACAUUUGACUGUAAAGAACUCGAUGCAUGUCCUCCUAUCUACCAUUACCGACCAUAAACAUCAGAACCCAACCUUUCCGAGCACAAAAUUUUCUCAAUCACAACUUAUAUUCUACACUGCUAAAACUCGAGGCAGUCAGGAUGGAGCAUACAUCGCCUCACUUAACAUCGUUGGUCGUAGAUUACGGCAUGUGUUAGUACUAGUUUGUGCUGCAAAAAGUGCAGGCUCAAGCGAUGCCACUGUCUUGACUAUUAAUCUAGUACUCUGUCUUACCUAUAAGAAAAUAACUAAACAAACUAAUUAAUAUAAAGCAUACUUCUAGAAACAGCCUGAUUUAAAGCAAUAAUAGUGAUGCAAUUCCAAUUACCUAGAGAUACAACUUCAUGAUCAACACAAUCACAUAAGAUGAAUAGAAGAAGGGCCAGAUAUAGCAGCUACUCUCUGAGCAUGCUGUGCUUCACCCUUGUAAAGUUCCUUUAUUUCUUUCUUGGUACGGCGUGCUACACGCCUCUCCUCCUUGACAGCAGCCUGCACGCACAAAACUUCAAAUCAUCAUCAAAGAACCCACAGAACUUACCAACAAAACAACAUAAGAAAAGAAAAAAAACAAGGCACAUUUUCUCAAAUUUAUCAAAUAUCAAAACCAGUAGCUUUGAGUUAUGCGGAUGCAAAGUCAUUUACUUCCAGUUUUGCCUUAAAAUGGCAGUUUCUGGAUUUUAACUAUCAUAAGGUGUCAUGUAAAUCUUUCAUUAGUUAUAAAGGAUUGGUAAUCUACGCUGGAUCAAAUGGCAUCCUCAAGAUAAGCAAAAAGAAUAGCAGACUAACGCAUGUAUACCUUUCGCUCUUUCUUCUCCUCCUUUGACUCCAUACCAUGUUGCUUCCUUUUCUGCUGCUCAGUUUUCAAGGCACCUAUAUCUUUCACCUUCUCUGUAGCAGGUUUUUUAUGAGGCAAGAAGUCCACAGGCAGCCUCUCUUUCCCUCGAAGGGUUAUCACAUGAUUGGCAGAACCCAAGGCUCCAGAAAUGGUUUCAGAAAGCUUCUUCCUUCUAGCUACUCCUGGAGCUUCGAUUUUCCCAG